AGGUCAAAGGAUCUCUUAUACAACUCCCACUAGAGAAUUAUCAGUUGACUUAUAAAUAAGACUCCAUCUGAUUAUUCUCUCACAGGUCAAUUUAGUGAACUCAUUCUCUAAUGAGUAUCUGUAUCCUUGUAUUAGUGUCACCACACAAGUGGUUGUGAGAUCAACACCUUAUUUCUAAGCAUACAUAGGACAUGCCAAUCUUACUGGUAUCAUUGAUCUUCGACUCAAUGCACCAAUAACUAAGAAUAUUUCAGAUCAAGACUAUCAAAGAUUUAGGUCUCACUGGUUUGAUCUCAUCAUGGCCAUAAAACUAUUAUCCAGACC
rnacentral:lncRNA from 1 species